AACGCGAAGAACCUUACCUGCCCUUGACAUCUGUGGAAUCCUGUAGAGAUAUGGGAGUGCCGCAAGGAACCACAAGACAGGUGCUGCAUGGCUGUCGUCAGCUCGUGUUGUGAGAUGUUGGGUUAAGUCCCGUAACGAGCGCAACCCCUGUUCACAGUUGCCAGCGCGUAAUGGCGGGGACUCUGUGGAGACUGCCGGUGAUGAACCGGAGGAAGGCGGGGACGACGUCAAGUCAUCAUGGCCUUUAUGGGCAGGGCUACACACGUGCUACAAUGGGGGCGUACAGAGGGAAGCCAACCCGCGAGGGGGAGCCGAUCCCACAAAGCGCCUCUUAGUCCGGACUGGAGUCUGCAACUCGACUCCACGAAGUCGGAAUCGCUAGUAAUCGCGAAUCAGAAUGUCGCGGUGAAUACGUUCCCGGGCCUUGUACACACCGGAGUA
rnacentral:rRNA from 1 species